GCCUAUGGCCAUACCACCCUGAAUGCGCCCGAUCUCGUCUGAUCUCAGAAGCUAAGCAGGGUCAGGCCUUGGAUGGGAGAAGCA
rnacentral:rRNA from 1 species